rnacentral:rRNA from 1 species
GACGAACGCUGGCGGCGUGCUUAACACAUGCAAGUCGAACGGAAAGGCCCUGCUUUUGUGGGGUGCUCGAGUGGCGAACGGGUGAGUAACACGUGAGUAACCUGCCCUUGACUUUGGGAUAACUUCAGGAAACUGGGGCUAAUACCGGAUAGGAGCUCCUGCUGCAUGGUGGGGGUUGGAAAGUUUCGGCGGUUGGGGAUGGACUCGCGGCUUAUCAGCUUGUUGGUGGGGUAGUGGCUUACCAAGGCUUUGACGGGUAGCCGGCCUGAGAGGGUGACCGGCCACAUUGGGACUGAGAUACGGCCCAGACUCCUACGGGAGGCAGCGGUGGGGAAUAUUGCACAAUGGGCGGAAGCCUGAUGCAGAAACGCCGCGUGCGGGAUGACGGCCUUCGGGUUGUAAACCGCUUUCGCCUGUGACGAAGCGUGAGUGACGGUAAUGGGUAAAGAAGCACCGGCUAACUACGUG